rnacentral:tRNA from 1 species
AGUCUUAUAGUCAUUUAGUGAUGUAAAAUUGCAAAUUUUAAGGGGUAAUUAAUAUUAUUAAGGCUU